rnacentral:lncRNA from 1 species
UAGCAAAAGGAGAUUGUGCUACUAGGCUAUCCAAAGACGGGAACAAAACUGCACUAAAACACAAUCACUGUAUUAGACGUCGGUUAAUGUAUACACCGAUGUCUAUAGUACCUUUUAGACGUCAGUCAGUGCCAUUUUCGAAGUCUUUAGUGCCUCUUCGACGUUGGUUAUUGCUCAAACUGACGUCAUUAUAGACGUUGGUUAUAUUCAUGUCCAAUGUCCCAUUGAUGUCAC